rnacentral:rRNA from 1 species
CGUCUAUAUACGUAUAGCAUAUCAAUAAGCGGAGGAAAAGAAACUAACAAGGAUUCCCCUAGUAACGGCGAGUGAAGCGGGAAGAGCUCAAAUUUGAAAUCUUCAAGGGUUUCCCUUGACGAAUUGUAGUCUAAAGAAGUGUUUUCUGUUAGAGAGGUGGUAAAAGUUCUUUGGAAUAGGACAUCAUAGAGGGUGAGAAUCCCGUAUUUGACUAUUCUUUCUAACGCUUUGUGAUACACUUUCAAAGAGUCGGAUUGUUUGGGAAUGCAGUCCAAAAUGGGUGGUAAAUUUCAUCUAAAGCUAAAUAUUGGCGAGAGACCGAUAGCGAACAAGUACCGUGAGGGAAAGAUGAAAAGAACUUUGAAAAGAGAGUUAAACAGUACGUGAAAUUGUCAAAAGGGAAGCGUUUGACACCAGUGUUGUUUUUCCGAAAAUCAAUUAAAAAUUGGAUUCAUGCCUAGGUAUGUAUUGACCUUAUCAGCUUGCAAUUUGGUUUUGGGUCUCUUUUUGAUGCACUUUUCGGUUAACAAGUCAACAUCAAUUUCCUUUGCUGUAAAAAGGUAAGAGGAAGGUGGCUUCAAUUUCGGUUGAAGUGUUUAUAGCCUUUUAUCUCUGCAGUCGGGGAGAUUGAGGUCUGCAGCGUAGAUCCUUCGGGGCUAGAUACAUUUAUGCUAAGUUAUAGCUUUUCAUAGACAACUUGUUGACUAUGUUUAGUCAUGUAGCUUACUCGUAAGUGCUAUUUUACCUACGCUUAGGAUGUUGAUAGUCACAGCGUGUAC